rnacentral:tRNA from 1 species
AUUUAAAUAGCUUAUAAAGAGCAUGAUAUUGAAGAUAUCAGGGAAGUUUUUUUACUUUUAAAUA